rnacentral:rRNA from 1 species
UGAGUGGCAGACGGGUGAGUAACACGUGGGAACGUACCCUUCGGUUCGGAAUAACUCAGGGAAACUUGAGCUAAUACCGGAUACGCCCUUACGGGGAAAGAUUUAUCGCCGAAGGAUCGGCCCGCGUCUGAUUAGCUAGUUGGUGAGGUAAUGGCUCACCAAGGCGACGAUCAGUAGCUGGUCUGAGAGGAUGAUCAGCCACACUGGGACUGAGACACGGCCCAG